UCGGGUGUGGUGCAGGGUGCACGGCGACUUUCAAUAAGUCUGGCGAAGCCACGAGGCCGCAGACCGGGGUUCGACUCCCCGCAUCCGCA